rnacentral:Y_RNA from 1 species
GGCUGGUCGGAUGGUAGUGGAUUAUCAGAAUCACAACGCUAAUGUUGUUUCACUAAAGCUGGUAUACAACCUCUGACUCCUACAUUUGACUGGCUUUUU